GACGAACGCUGGCGGCGUGCUUAACACAUGCAAGUCGAGCGAUGAAGCUCCUUCGGGAGUGGAUUAGCGGCGGACGGGUGAGUAACACGUGGGUAACCUGCCUCAUAGAGGGGAAUAGCCUCUCGAAAGGAAGAUUAAUACCGCAUAAGAUUGUAGCUUCGCAUGAAGCAGCAAUUAAAGGAGUAAUCCGCUAUGAGAUGGACCCGCGUCGCAUUAGCUAGUUGGUGAGGUAACGGCUCACCAAGGCGACGAUGCGUAGCCGACCUGAGAGGGUGGUCGGCCACAUUGGGACUGAGACACGGCCCAGACUCCUACGGGAGGCGGCAGUGGGGAAUAUUGCACAAUGGGGGAAACCCUGAUGCAGCAACGCCGCGUGAGUGAUGACGGUCUUCGGAUUGUAAAGCUCUGUCUUCAGGGACGAUAAUGACGGUACCUGAGGAGGAAGCCACGGCUAACUACGUGCCAGCCGCCGCCGUAA
rnacentral:rRNA from 1 species